rnacentral:rRNA from 1 species
UAGAGUUUGAUCCUGGCUCAGAUUGAACGCUGGCGGCAGGCCUAACACAUGCAAGUCGAGCGGUAGCACAAGAGAGCUUGCUCUCUGGGUGACGAGCGGCGGACGGGUGAGUAAUGUCUGGGAAACUGCCUGAUGGCGGGGGAUAACUAGUGGAAACGGUAGCUAAUACCGCAUAACGUCGCAAGACCAAAGUGGGGGACCUUCGGGCCUCACGCCAUCAGAUGUGCCCAGGUGGGAUUAGCUGGUAGGUGGGGUAACGGCUCACCUAGGCGACGAUCCCUAGCUGGUCUGAGAGGAUGACCAGCCACACUGGAACUGAGACACGGUCCAGACUCCUACGGGAGGCAGCAGUGGGGAAUAUUGCACAAUGGGCGCAAGCCUGAUGCAGCCAUGCCGCGUGUGUGAAGAAGGCCUUCGGGUUGUAAAGCACUUUCAGCGAGGAGGAGGGGUAAUGUGUUAAUAAGACAUUGC